rnacentral:lncRNA from 1 species
GUUGGGCCAGACGCGGUGGCUCACCCGUGUAAUCCCAGCACUUUGGGAGGCCAACGCGGGCGGAUUACGAGGUCAGGAGUUCAAGACUAUAGGGUCCAGCCCUACUGUGCCUGUGUGUUUUUCUCUUCAUGUGCAGAGAUGAGAGAUCGUAGAAAUAAAGACACAAGACAAAGAGAUGGAAGAAAAGACAGCUGGGCCCAGGGGACCACUACCACCAAGGCAUGGAGACCGGUAGUGGCCCCGAAUGCCUGGCUGCACUGUUAUUUAUUCGAUACAAGGCAAGGAGGCAGAAGGCACAGCCAGGUGUACAGGGCGGAACACGAAAGUGGACCAGGAGCGUGACCGCUGAAGCACAGCAUCACAGGGAGACGUUUAGGCCUCCGGAUGGCUGCGGGCGGGCUUGACUGAUGUCAGGCCUUCCACAAGAGGUGGUGGAGCAGAGUCUUCUCUAACUCCCCUGGGGAAACUGAGACUCCCUUUCCCGGUCUGCUAAG